rnacentral:rRNA from 1 species
AGAGUUUGAUCAUGGCUCAGAUUGAACGCUGGCGGCAUGCCUUACACAUGCAAGUCGAACGGCAGCACGGGUGCUUGCACCUGGUGGCGAGUGGCGAACGGGUGAGUAAUGCAUCGGAACGUACCCGGAAGUGGGGGAUAACGUAGCGAAAGUUACGCUAAUACCGCAUAUUCUGUGAGCAGGAAAGCGGGGGAUCGCAAGACCUCGCGCUUCCGGAGCGGCCGAUGUCGGAUUAGCUAGUUGGCGGGGUAAAGGCCCACCAAGGCAACGAUCCGUAGCGGGUCUGAGAGGAUGAUCCGCCACACUGGGACUGAGACACGGCCCAGACUCCUACGGGAGGCAGCAGUGGGGAAUUUUGGACAAUGGGCGCAAGCCUGAUCCAGCCAUGCCGCGUGAGUGAAGAAGGCCUUCGGGUUGUAAAGCUCUUUCGGCUGGGAAGAAAUCGCAUCUCCUAAUACGGGGCGUGGAUGACGGUACCAGCAUAAGAAGCACCGGCUAACUACGUGCCAGCAGCCGCGGUAAUACGUAGGGUGCGAGCGUUAAUCGGAAUUACUGGGCGUAAAGCGUGCGCAGGCGGUUUCGUAAGACAGAGGUGAAAUCC